UACGUAGGCAGCAAGCGUUGUUCGGAGUUACUGGGCGUAAAGAGUGCGUAGGCGGUUUUUUAAGUUUGGUGUGAAAUCUCCCGGCUUAACUGGGAGGGUGCGCCGAAAACUGGAAGGCUCGAGGAUGGGAGAGGCAUGCGGAAUUCCUGGUGUAGCGGUGAAAUGCGUAGGUAUCAGGAGGAACACCUGCGGUGUAGACAGCAUGCUGGACCAUUUCUGACGCUGAGGCACGAAAGCGUGGGUAGCAAACAGG
rnacentral:rRNA from 1 species